rnacentral:misc_RNA from 1 species
CGGAAGUAAAGUCGUAACAAGGUUUCCGUAGGUGAACCUGCGGAAGGAUCAUUAAAAAAUUGGACUCCAUUGGUGAGUUCAUUAAUAAUCCUACCCUUUGUGAAUUUGUUUGUUUGAAUAAUUUUUUUUCCAAAAAAAGUUAUUGAAUGUCUUUCCCUGUUUUGGUGGAGCUUGUAAAGUGAAACCAGGCAGGGGAAUGGCAAACAAUAAUUAUUUUUGAAAAAGACCUUUUUUAAAAUUAAACUUUUUGUAUUCAUUUGUCUAAAAUUAUUUUUAUAAUAUAAAAACAACUUUUGACAAUGGAUCUCUUGGUUCUCGCAACGAUGAAGAACGCAGCAAAAUGCGAUAAGUAGUGUGAAUUGCAGAAUACGUGAAUCAUCGAAUCUUCGAACGCAUAUUGCACUUUUUUAGUUUACUAAAAAAGUAUGUCUGUUUGAGUAUCAGUAAAAUAUUCUCAUAAAAAAUUUAUUUUUUAUGGUUAUGAGUGUUUUACAACGAUAACAAGUUGUUUCACUUUAAAUUCUUUGUUAUCAAAAAAAUCAUUAAAAGCUAAUUUUAAAGAUUUUUUAAAAUUGGAUAAAAUUUUCCCGUAAAAAGGAAUAACCUAAACAAUUUUAAAAAAUUAAAAUUGGUUUGAUUUUUCUUGAUUUAAAAAGGAAAAAAAAGUAAAAAUUAACUUGAUCUCAAAUCAGAUAAGAGUACCCGCUGAACUUAAGCAUAUCAAUAAGCGGAGGAAAAGAAACUAACUAGGAUUCCCUCAGUAACGGCGAGUGAAGCGGGAAGAGCUCAAAUUUGAAAUCUUCAAGGUUUUACCUUGACGAAUUGUAGUUUAAAGAAGUGUUUUCUGUUGGAGUUUUGGUAAAAGUUCUUUGGAAAAGGACAUCAUAGAGGGUGAGAAUCCCGUAUUUGACCAUUAUCUCCAGCUUUGUGAUACACUUUCAAAGAGUCGGAUUGUUUGGGAAUGCAGUCCAAAAUGGGUGGUAAAUUUCAUCUAAAGCUAAAUACUGGCGAGAGACCGAUAGCGAACAAGUACCGUGAGGGAAAGAUGAAAAGAACUUUGAAAAGAGAGUUAAACAGUACGUGAAAUUGUCAAAAGGGAAGCGUUUGACACCAGUGUUGUUUUCUCGAAAAUCAAUUAAAAAAGGCCGGAUUUUGUGUUGUAUUGACUUUAUCAGCUUUCUGCACUUUUUUCUUGUCUUUUUUAAUGCACUUUUCGUUUAACAAGUCAACAUCAAUUUCUUUUGUUGUAAAAGGGUCAUUGGAAGGUGGCUUUCUUUUCGGAGAAAGUGUUUAUAGCCUUUGGCCUCUGCAAUCGGAGAGAUUGAGGUCUGCAGCGUAGAUCCUUCGGGGUUAGAUACAUUUGUGCUAAGUUAUAGCCUUUCAUAGACAACUUGUUGACUAUGAUCAGUCAUGUAGCUUACUCGCUUAUGCUAUUUUACCUACGCUUAGGAUGUUGAG